rnacentral:rRNA from 1 species
AAUGAACGCUGGCGGCAGGCUUAACACAUGCAAGUCGAGCGGUAGCACAGGGGAGCUUGCUCCCUGGGUGACGAGCGGCGGGCGGGUGAGACAUGUCUGGGAAACUGCCUGAUGGAGGGGGAUAACUACUGGAAACGGUUGCUAAUACCGCAUAACGUCGCAAGCACAAAGGGGGGGAGAUUGUUGCGUCUUGCCAUCAGAUGCUCGCAGGUGGGAUUCGCUAGUAGGUGGGGUAAUCGCUCCCCUAGGCGACGAUCCCUAGCUGGUCGGAGAGGAUGGCCAGCCGCACGGGAAGGGGGACACGGUCCAGACGCCUACGGGAGGCAGCAGUGGGGAAUAGUGGGCAGAGGGCGCGAGCCUGAUGCAGUGAUGCCGCGUGUGUGAAGAAGGCCUUCGGGUUGGAAAGCACGUUCAGGGGGGAGGAAGGGGGUGAGCUUGAGACGUUCAGCAAGUGACGGUACUGGCUGAAGAAGCACCGGCUAACUCCGUG